CAGUAGCCGCGGUAAUACGAAGGGGGCUAGCGUUGUUCGGAGUUAUUGGGCGUAAAGGGUGCGUAGGCGGCUUGACAAGUCUUGUGUGAAAUCUAUGGGCUCAACCCAUAGUCUGCACGGGAAACUGUCGGGCUUGAGAAUGGGAGAGGUGAGUGGAAUUUCCGGUGUAGCGGUGAAAUGCGUAGAUAUCGGAAGGAACACCUGUGGCGAAAGCGGCUCACUGGACCAUUUCUGACGCUGAUGCACGAAAGCUAGGGGAGCAAACAGGAUUAGAUACCCGAGUAGUCCCUGUCUCUUAUAC
rnacentral:rRNA from 1 species